rnacentral:rRNA from 1 species
CACUCUAGAGAGACUGCCAGGGAUAACCUGGAGGAAGGUGGGGAUGACGUCAAAUCAUCAUGCCCCUUAUGCUUAGGGCUACACACGUGCUACAAUGGGUAGUACAGAGGGUUGCCAAGCCGUAAGGUGGAGCUAAUCCCUUAAAGCUACUCUCAGUUCGGAUUGUAGGCUGAAACUCGCCUACAUGAAGCUGGAGUUACUAGUAAUCGCAGAUCAGAAUGCUGCGGUGAAUGCGUUCCCGGGUCUUGUACACACCGCCCGUCACACCACGGGAGUUGGAGACGCCCGAAGCCGAUUAUCUAACCUGUUGGAAGAAGUCGUCGAAGGUGGAAUCAAUAACUGGGGUGAAGUCGUAACAAGGUAGCCGUAUCGGAAGGUGCGGCUGGAUCACCUCCUUUCUAAGGAGA